rnacentral:rRNA from 1 species
GGUUAAGCGACUAAGCGUACACGGUGGAUGCCCUGGCAGUCAGAGGCGAUGAAGGACGUGCUAAUCUGCGAUAAGCGUCGGUAAGGUGAUAUGAACCGUUAUAACCGGCGAUUUCCGAAUGGGGAAACCCAGUGUGUUUCGACACACUAUCAUUAACUGAAUCCAUAGGUUAAUGAGGCGAACCGGGGGAACUGAAACAUCUAAGUACCCCGAGGAAAAGAAAUCAACCGAGAUUCCCCCAGUAGCGGCGAGCGAACGGGGAGCAGCCCAGAGCCUGAAUCAGUGUGUGUGUUAGUGGAAGCGUCUGGAAAGGCGCGCGAUACAGGGUGACAGCCCCGUACACAAAAAUGCACAUGCUGUGAGCUCGAUGAGUAGGGCGGGACACGUGGUAUCCUGUCUGAAUAUGGGGGGACCAUCCUCCAAGGCUAAAUACUCCUGACUGACCGAUAGUGAACCAGUACCGUGAGGGAAAGGCGAAAAGAACCCCGGCGAGGGGAGUGAAAAAGAACCUGAAACCGUGUACGUACAAGCAGUGGGAGCACAGAGCAAUCUGUGUGACUGCGUACCUUUUGUAUAAUGGGUCAGCGACUUAUAUUCUGUAGCAAGGUUAACCGAAUAGGGGAGCCGAAGGGAAACCGAGUCUUAACUGGGCGUUAAGUUGCAGGGUAUAGACCCGAAACCCGGUGAUCUAGCCAUGGGCAGGUUGAAGGUUGGGUAACACUAACUGGAGGACCGAACCGACUAAUGUUGAAAAAUUAGCGGAUGACUUGUGGCUGGGGGUGAAAGGCCAAUCAAACCGGGAGAUAGCUGGUUCUCCCCGAAAGCUAUUUAGGUAGCGCCUCGUGAAUUCAUCUCCGGGGGUAGAGCACUGUUUCGGCAAGGGGGUCAUCCCGACUUACCAACCCGAUGCAAACUGCGAAUACCGGAGAAUGUUAUCACGGGAGACACACGGCGGGUGCUAACGUCCGUCGUGAAGAGGGAAACAACCCAGACCGCCAGCUAAGGUCCCAAAGUCAUGGUUAAGUGGGAAACGAUGUGGGAAGGCCCAGACAGCCAGGAUGUUGGCUUAGAAGCAGCCAUCAUUUAAAGAAAGCGUAAUAGCUCACUGGUCGAGUCGGCCUGCGCGGAAGAUGUAACGGGGCUAAACCAUG